CUGGUAUUAUUGUGAAAAUAGUUUUGACUUGCAGACGCCCACUGGAUGGUUUUUUGAGGAGCCCCAGGGGACCCUGGAACACACUCUGAGAACUUCUGGCUUACAGAUUAGCUCAAAAGUAACUGUAUUCUGUAGAAAACAGAGUUUGAACAUAUUGAAGCUUAUCAAUAAAUAUGGGAUUAGCAAUAAAGAGUGGCUGAGACGUUGGUUCUGCGGGCCAAGUGCAGACGAGUUGGUGCAGCAUUGAGCGUGACAAUUGCCCAGGGGGCAGAUGACAUUAGAAACAAGACUUUCUACAAGAAGCGGAGCUCCUUUUUCAAAAGAGUCUAACAUGAAGCUCUGAUAUAUAAAGUAUGGAACAGUCUGGCUGAAGUAAGGAAGGGGUCUGUGUGGCCUGGCUUCCUUCUUCCUCCUCCUGUCUCAACAUAAGCAUGGCCUCUGGACCCUGGACAUCCAGAAAAAGCAGGCAGAAAACCACUGAUCUAACUGCAAACAAUCGGCAGAGCCGGAAAAGGUAACUGAAGAUGAAAGUUAAAGCAAAUUGCCCAACAUCUCCCACUGGGUCAAAAAGAGGCCCUGAACUGAGAUUGAAGCCCAGUCCGCCUGACUGCAGAGCCCAGCUGCACCCCAAACUCCGUCCGAAUGCUGGAAUUACCCCCCCGCCUUCACCAGGGCCACCUGCCUGCAGACACUGCCUGCAAACUGCUCAAAAGAUGCCCAGGAGAAGAGAGAGGAGCAAAAGACGUCCCUAAUUUCCAUACCCGGCAAUCCGCUAUACAAACUCUCUAGUAACUCUUAAAUGCUAUUGGAAGCAAUUAAAUAAAAAUCCUGGGAUAAUGACUUGUUUUUAACAUUAGAGCCUAAA
rnacentral:lncRNA from 1 species